CUAUAUCAAUAGUUAGUUAAAACUGAUGUGGGGUUUCCACACAAAUUUCUUUGGAAAGUAAAAAUUCCAGCGAAAAUAAAGAUCCUUUUUUGGCUGAUCGCCAGGAAUAGUAUACUAACCAGAGACAACCUAGCAAAAGGAGGAUGGAAACGGAAUCGGAGUUGUGUGUACUAUGGUCGAAAUGAAACCAUAGAUCACCUUUUCUUCUCUUGUUCUGCUGCCAAGUUACUUUGGAGUUUGAUAAAAUGCUCCUUCAAUUUAAAAACAGCUUCGAUUGGGGUUGAUGAUUGCCUGGGGGUAUGUAUCAAGAAAUUUAAGCUAGAGGAAAGAAACCUAGUGUUAGUUGGAACGUCUGCCACUCUUUGGGCUAUUUGGAAAUGUAGAAAUGAUAUAAUUUUUUGUGAUAAAUUGGUCACUGACCCCAUGACGUUGGUGAAACUAACUUGCAAUUGGAUUGUGGAUUGGGCUGUUUUGUAG
rnacentral:rRNA from 1 species